rnacentral:rRNA from 1 species
GACAGAGGGGGCAAGCGUUGCUCGGAAUUACUGGGCGUAAAGGGCGCGUAGGCGGGAUGGUAAGUCGGUCGUGAAAUCCUUCGGCUCAACCGAAGAACGUCGAUCGAAACUGCCGUUCUUGAGGAUUGCAGAGGAGACUGGAAUUCCCGGUGUAGCGGUGAAAUGUGUAGAGAUCGGGAGGAACACCGGUGGCGAAGGCGGGUCUCUGGGCAAUUCCUGACGCUGAGGCGCGAAAGCGUGGGGAGCAAACGGG